AGGUGAUGCAUGUUUGUCGUCAACUCGUACCGUAAAGGGUUGGGUUAAAUCUCACAACGAGCGCGACCCUCGUGUUUAGUUGCCACUAUGAGUUUGUAACUCUGAAUAGAUCGCUGGUGUUAAGCCGGAGGAAAGAAAGAAUGGGACAAAGGGUCACGAUCU
rnacentral:ncRNA from 1 species